ACUAUCUGUCAUCCUCAUUCUAGCUUAAAAUGCUUCUGUGGCCUCCCGUGGACCUGAGGAUGAGGACUAACUCUGCUCUGCAUGCAGGCCCUCCUGAGUCAGGCCUUCUUCUCCAGGCUGGUCGCCCACAGUCAUUCUGCCCUCCAGCCAUCCCAAGCCAGAAGGCCUCCUUCUCAGAACUACUGAUUUCACACUUCCCUGUGUUGUACUUUCCCCACCACCCCGACUAGGCAUGCUGCUCCCUCUAUCCUUGCAAACAGAACAUGGCUGUGCAGUCGGCGAGGACAUCCUUCCAGGCUUCCUGACCACAGGCAGGUAUAAGGGGGGUGACACUGGCUGAGACUGAGCUGGGUCUGGGGGAGCCCAGUGACCCUCUGCGUGCAAUCCUCUACCCUUAGACCAGCUCUCUUAGUUACAAGUAGCCUGCAUGAGAAGAAAUGGAGAGAA
rnacentral:lncRNA from 1 species